rnacentral:rRNA from 1 species
GACGAACGCUGGCGGCGUGCCUAACACAUGCAAGUGGAGCGACGAACCAGGCUUCGGCCUGGGGCAGAGCCGCGAACGGGUGAGUAACACGUGGGUAACCUGCCCUGAUGAUUGGGACAACCCGAGGAAACUCGGGCUAAUACCAAAUGUGCCCUCCGACCAUAAGGUCGCUGGGGAAAGGAAGCUUCGGCCUCCGCAUCGGGAUGGGCCCGCGGCCCAUUAGCUUGUUGGUGAGGAAUGGCUCACCAAGGCAACGAUGGGUAGCUGGUCUGAGAGGACGAUCAGCCACACUGGGACUGAGACACGGCCCAGACUCCUACGGGAGGCAGCAGUGGGGAAUCUUGCGCAAUGCGCGAAAGCGUGACGCAGCAACGCCGCGUGGGGGAAGAAGGCC